CACUCAUCCAGAGGGGCAGAGGGAUACGGCCCGAUGAAGCCCCGGCAACCACUGAUGAUGAUCUCUUUCUCGUUGUAGAGGCCUAUGCCUCCGACCGCGAGGCCGAUCAUCAGCAGGUGCCCCGUCCGUCCCGCUCCGGCGGGAAAGAUGAGAC
rnacentral:ncRNA from 2 species